rnacentral:lncRNA from 10 species
AAGGCUGGCAGGGCGCGUUGGCUCACACCUGUAAUCCCAACGCUUUGGGAGGCCGAGACGGGUGGAUCACCUGAGGUCAGGAGUUCGAGACCAGACUGGGAAAUAUGGUGAAACCCCGUCUCUACUAAAAAUACAAAAAUUAGCCGGGCGUGGUGACGGGUGCCUGUAGUCCCAGCUACUCGAGAGGCUGAGGCAGGAGAAUCGCUUGAACCCAGGAGGCGGCGGUUGUGAGCCAAGAUCGCGCCUUUGCACUCCAGCCUGGGCAACAGAGGGAGACGUCGUCUUAAAAAAAAAAAAAAAAAAAAAAAAAACCUGAAGGCGCUUCAGGUCUGUGUCGCUUUUCCCUGCAAAACAUGGUAUUCAGUUGUCUCCGCCGUGCCAGGGAGAGAGACGGUGCCAACCCCCGGCGCUCGGCUUGGAUGCCCUGCCCUGGCCACGCCUUCCGAGGCUUCCACGGGCUAAAGAGGGAUUAAGAGACACUAAGCUGGGGUCGAAAAGUUCCUGUCACUGACCCCCUGCUUCCGGAAAGGAGGAGAUCCAGAAAACAAAAGAAAAGGUGUUGGGACCUUUUAUUUUUUCCUGGCCACCUGCUUUGGGGGUUGGGGUGGGUCAAAAUAAACGUAGGUUCAAAUAGACAGGCUGUGCAGACGAGCUGGCAAUUCUGUAAGAGGAGUCUAAGAAAAAAAACAGCUUUCGAAAAUGAAAUAUUACUUCAGGAACCCCAAGUUUAGCAGCUGCAGGAACCUCAAAAAAACCUUUGAAACUAAGAACGUGGUCAUCCGUAGAGACUAAUUAAGUAUUAUAAUACAAGCAUAUUAUGAAACAAGAGGACAUUAGAAGCACAUUUAAGAUGUCACUUUUGUAAAGUAAACAACUCAUUUAACCCUGCAUAUUGACAACGUUGAAUUCUACCUGAGCCCUGUGCUCCUGGAAAGUAAUGACAAUUAAGAAACCUUCCUAGGCCGGGCGCGGUGGCUGACGCCUGUAAUCCCAGUGCUUUGGGAGACCGAAGCGGGCGGAUUACUCCUGAGGUCAGGAGUUCGAGACCAGCCUGACCAACAUGGCGAAAUCCCGUCUCUACUAAAACUACAAAAAUUAGCCCGGCGUUUUGGUGUGUGCCUGUAAUCCCAGCUACUUGGGAGGCUAAGGCAGGAGAACCACUUGAACCCGGGAGGCAGAGGUUGCAGUGAGCCAAAAUCGUGCCACUGCACUUCAGCCUGGGCAACAGAGUAAGACUGUCUCAAAAAAAAAAGAAAGAAAGAGAGAAAGAGAGAAAGAAAGAAAGAGAAAAGAAAAGAAGCCUCCCACCUUUUUUUUUUUAAUCAAAGAUUUUGGUUGAAUUUCUCUUCCUCCCUCAUACCUCUGAACUUUCACCCACCCUGACCCUGAGCCGCAGGUAACCCCUCCUUAAUAGCCCCUCCUGAGAAGUUGGCCUCAGGGUGAAACAUUCUCUAAUCUAUUAUCCAGUGGAGAGCCACCUUUUCAUUCCACUUCCCACCAGUAGGGAAUAGGCCCCCUCCUACUGCAGGAACCCUUCCCCACAGUCCCCACCCAUCCCCAUUUGCAAUAAUCCCUACAAAUAAAGUCUCUCCUUAACCAAAUUUGAUUUUUUAUUUGCAAUAUAUACAGUAGUCACCUCCUUACCUGAGGUUUUGAUUUCCACGGUU